rnacentral:lncRNA from 1 species
CCCAACUAUGUGUCGGUGACAGAUGGUGGACCGUCAAAGCUAGACCGUCAAACGAGCUUCGGUUCGUCUACAAUGACUAUAAGACUUAUUAUCCGACUUUCUAUCGAUGUUAUGAACACGGACUGCCGACUGUCAAUUGAUAAGCCGAUCGACUGUCAACAAAUCUCGAUCGACUUCUUUGGCGGCUACAAACCAACUAUAAUGACUCAAUUGACUACAUAACUAAUGGCCAAUCGGUAU